rnacentral:sRNA from 1 species
UUUUUUCUGUUUUUUUUUUUUUUUUUUUCCUUUUUAAUUUAU